rnacentral:rRNA from 1 species
AGUUUGAUCAUGGCUCAGAUUGAACGCUGGCGGCAUGCCUUACACAUGCAAGUCGAACGGCAGCACGGGAGCUUGCUCCUGGUGGCGAGUGGCGAACGGUGAGUAAUACAUCGGAACGUACCCUGAAGUGGGGGAUAACGUAGCGAAAGUUACGCUAAUACCGCAUAUUCUGUGAGCAGGAAAAGAGGGGGGAUCGCAAGACCUCUUGCUUUAGGAGCGGCCGAUGUCGGAUUAGCUAGUUGGUGAGGUAAAGGCUCACCAAGGCGACGAUCCGUAGCGGGUCUGAGAGGAUGAUCCGCCACACUGGGACUGAGACACGGCCCAGACUCCUACGGGAGGCAGCAGUGGGGAAUUUUGGACAAUGGGCGCAAGCCUGAUCCAGCCAUGCCGCGUGAGUGAAGAAGGCCUUCGGGUUGUAAAGCUCUUCCGGUGGGAACGAAAUUGCUUCCGGUUAAUACCUGGAGUAGAUGACGGUACCCGCAUAAGAAGCACCGGCUAACUACGUG